rnacentral:miRNA from 1 species
UAAAUGCAUCAUCUGGAAUGAA